UUGGAGGGCAAGUCUGGUGCCAGCAGCCGCGGUAAUUCCAGCUCCAAUAGCGUAUAUUAAAGUUGUUGCAGUUAAAAAGUUCGUAGUUGAAUUUCGGGUUAGUAGGCUGGUUAUGGAACUGGCGCCCUGCCGGUUUAUGUAACUGGUCUUACUAAUUCCUCCUUCCUGAUGAACUGUAGUGCCAUUAAUUUGGUGUUGCAGGGAAUCUGGACUGUUACUUUAGAAAAAUUGAGUGUUUAAAGCAGGCUAACGCUUGAAUACAUAUUAGCAUGGAAUAAUGAAAUAGGACGUUCGAUCCUAUUUUGUUGGUUUCUAGGAUUGACGUAAUGAUUAAUAGGGAUAGUUGGGGGCAUUAGUAUUCAAUUGUCAAAGGUGAAAUUCUU
rnacentral:rRNA from 1 species